rnacentral:rRNA from 1 species
AAACCAAUAGGGAUUACCUCAGUAACGGCGAGUGAAGCGGUAACAGCUCAAAUUUGAAAUCUGGGUCUUUCAGGCUCCGAGUUGUAAUUUGUAGAAGAUGCUUCGGGUGCGGCUCCGGUCUAAGUUCCUUGGAACAGGACGUCAUAGAGGGUGAGAAUCCCGUAUGUGAUCGGUUGCUUGCGCCCAUGUGAAGCUCUUUCGACGAGUCGAGUUGUUUGGGAAUGCAGCUCAAAAUGGGUGGUAAAUUUCAUCUAAAGCUAAAUAUUGGCCAGAGACCGAUAGCGCACAAGUAGAGUGAUCGAAAGAUGAAAAGCACUUUGGAAAGAGAGUUAAACAGUACGUGAAAUUGUUGAAAGGGAAGCGCUUGCAACCAGACUUGCGCGUUGCCGAUCAUCCGGGGUUCUCCCCGGUGCACUCGGCCUCGCUCAGGCCAGCAUCGGUUUUGGUGGUGGGAUAAAGGCCUUGGGAAUGUAGCUCCUUUCGGGGAGUGUUAUAGCCCUCGGUGCAAUGCCGCCUACCGGGACCGAGGACCGCGCUUCGGCUAGGAUGCUGGCGUAAUGGUUGUAAGCGAC